CAGUCGCCGCGGUAACACGUAGGGUGCAAGCGUUAAUCGGAAUUACUGGGCGUAAAGCGUGCGUAGGUGGUGGUUUAAGUCCGUUGUGAAAGCCCUGGGCUCAACCUGGGAAUUGCAGUGGAUACUGGGUCACUAGAGUGUGGUAGAGGAUAGUGGAAUUUCCGGUGUAGCAGUGAAAUGCGUAGAGAUCGGAAGGAACAUCUGUGGCGAAGGCGACUAUCUGGGCCAACACUGACACUGAGGCACGAAAGCGUGGGGAGCAAACAGGAUUAGAUACCCGGGUAGUCCCUGUCUCUUAUAC
rnacentral:rRNA from 1 species